rnacentral:rRNA from 1 species
UCGAGAAUCUUCCGCAAUGGGCGCAAGCCUGACGGAGCGAUGCCGCGUGAGGGAUGAAGGCCUUCGGGUUGUAAACCUCUGUCAGAGGGGACAAAGAAUGUGAUGGUACCCUCAGAGGAAGCCACGGCUAACUACGUGCCAGCAGCCGCGGUAAUACGUAGGUGGCGAGCGUUAUUCGGAUUCACUGGGCGUAAAGGGUCCGUAGGGGGUCUGCCAAGUCUGAUGUGAAAUCCCGCGGCUCAACUGCGGAACGGCAUUGGAUACUGGCGGGCUGGAGUCUGCGAGGGGUGAGCGGAAUUCCUGGUGUAGCGGUGGAAUGCGUAGAUAUCAGGAAGAACACCGAUGGCGAAGGCGGCUCACUGGCGCAGUACUGACCCUGAGGGACGAAAGCGUGGGGAGCAAACAGG